CUUUAAGGGCUACAAGAAGGCAGACAGAGAACUAUUAUGGUUUUGGUACUAACCUCGUUCCCAUAGGAAUCACCGAAUGCAAGACUUAUUUUGUCUCUGGUGUAAGAUGAAGAGGAGCAGCUAGUCUUGACUACAACUGUUGAUCAAGACCUCGUCAGAAAACAUACCUGAAUAGAUUUAGGCUGGAAGGAGUUGAGAAGAUGAGGUUGUGGAGGCGAGACAGAUGUAGCAGGUGGAGAAAUUAUGGAGAAGAAGACAAAGAUGAGCAGGAAAGAGAGUAGUUUGACCAUUUCUUUUUCCUGUUUUUUGGUGCUGCUAUGAUUUGUCACAGUUUCACUCAGGUGAGGAGAGUAGGUUUAUCUCAUCAACCAGUAUUCGUUUCAUAAUAUUAAUACACACACAUACACGCAGCGCUGGUUUUGGUUGUAUCAUCACUGAUAACUACUUUAAUUAAUUUUGUAUGCCUCAGCAAAAUUAUUAAUA